CUCAAGUUCAAGUUUCUUCCUCUGGGAGGACAGGAAAAGGCUGCUGGCCCUUUGGGAGGCCCAAGAAGAGAGCAAUAACAUAGACCCCAGCCUCCUUCGCCUGCCAGUCCCUCCAGCCCUGUUCCAGGGCCAUGGACCUCAGAGCUCCUGCUUGACUCCCAGCAGGCAGCCAGACGUUCCUGGGAAGCCACACGGUCCACGAGUCUCAGGGGCAAAGAAGUCUCUGUGAGAGGUGAGAGGUGACAGGGAGCAGCCAGCUCAGUGCCUGUGGCAUGGAGAGGGGAGGA
rnacentral:lncRNA from 1 species